UACGAAGGGGGCUAGCGUUGCUCGGAAUCACUGGGCGUAAAGCGCACGUAGGCGGAUUGCUAAGUCAGGGGUGAAAUCUCGGAGCUUAACUCCGAAACUGCAUUCGAUACUGCCGUGCUUGAGGACUGGGAGAGGAGACUGGAAUUUACGGUGUAGCGGUGAAAUGCGUAGAUAUCGUAAGGAAGACCAGUGGCGAAGGCGGGUCUCUGGACAGUUCCUGACGCUGAGGCACGAAGGUCAGGGGAGCAAACGGG
rnacentral:rRNA from 1 species